AAAAGCCUAGGCUGAGUUGGGGGCAGGGAGAGAAAGAGAGAGAGAGACGGAGAGCCGCCUCCUGUGUCCUGGUAAAAUGGCAGAAGAGAGGGAUAAUGACCACCACCUGACAGAGCUGCUGUGCAGAUCAGAUGAGAGUCACUAAAGUCGUAUGAGGAACAAGAAAAAGAGCGACAGGCUGGAGCUCCUCCAACCUUUCACCACUUCCAAACUGGGAGACACAUCGCAGCCUUGACAAGGGGCAUAUGGCUGGGCCCCUGGUGGAGUGGGCCUGCACACCUCAGGAGCAGAGACAUCUCAGGGACCCCAGCAUGGAGCAUGACAACAGCUCCCGUCCCCAGGGCUUGCUAAGCCUCAGGGAACCUGGUCUCCACACCGAGCAUAGCAGGGCUGGCCCACCCUUGCUGAGGUGUGAUUUUCACCACAGGUUGGAAUGGGGGCUGGAAAUCAAGUUCUGUUUUGGUUCUUGACUAUUUGAGUUUGAUGCUUGACAUUUAAAAAGCUGUUGCUGACUGUGUUGUUUCCCUAAUCAAAGGGCGUCAAUGACUUCUUACUCUUCACACUCAAGUCCAUAUGUCAUCCUGUCACCUAAGCUCUCUACUGUCUAAUCAGCCCUCCACUCAUCCUAGCCAGUCUGUCAGAUUCCCCAGUCUCUUCUUCCAGCCCAGACCUGGUCCUGAGCUCUGGCUGGGUCUAACCCACCACCCAGUAGGGAGAGUCCUCCGUGAAUUAUCUCACAAACACACCUUUUACUUCCUGUGGUUCUCACUGCUGACGGCCCUGCAAGAAAGAAAUGCAGCUAUGGGAAUAGAGCUCUGGAGUCCUGCUGGUCCUCCCUCCCCUUUAAUCUACAUAUCAGAUCAAUCACAACACCCAGUAGGGCCUAUUUCCUAAAUGGUUUUGAACCCCAUCUCUUUCUAUCUGUUCUCAGUCCCACCACUUCAGUUCUGGCCUCAUUAUCUUUUAUUCUGACCAUGACUCUGAUGCCUUCUGUCCCCCACCACUUCCCUCCCCUCCCCAGCCUUCCAACUCUCCAGUCAAAGAGGUAACAGAAUGUAGGGGUGAAGAGUCUGGUCUUGAAACCCAAAAAUCCUCUUCCUGCUCCUUCUGUUGGAGUUAUCUUGGGCAAGUUUGUACCUCCCUCUGGAACUGAUAAGAUUGUGAGGUUAAGGUUUACAAACUGCGGUUGGCCCUAAAUAAUGUGAGACACUGUUAUGCUUAUCUUUCCAAAAUGCA